UAUUUAGGCCAGCACUUCCCCUUUCACAAUCUGUGGUUGCAGUGUUUGUUUCUGCUCUCCAAAAAUGAUGCUGUGUCCUGCACUGGACCAUAAACUACCUCAAAUGAGUACUGGUGAAAAGAACAAUGGAGUCCCUGCAGCAAACCACAGCCUUGGAAGUGCCACUAAAGGUUCCCUUGAAAGUGAUUCUUACCACUGGGAAAUCAUGGGGGUGUAUGACAGAAUUGCAGGAGAUGUAAAGCAGUCAUCGGGGAUGUUAUUCAGUACCCAUACACCUCAUUGGCCUGUGCUGAUUCCUCACUGAAUCACUAGGCAACAGCGCUGCUGGAUCUUUCAUAAGCACCUAAUACUCUGCAUGUGAAUUUUUUUACUUCAUUUUGUCUGUAGCCCUAGGCAACAGCAGUGAGAUAAAACUGGUUUUUACCAGUUCAUUGUGUUUCCUUUAGCCAAGGUAACCAGCAGGGAGCUGCUUUUGUUCAGAGCUAAAUUACUACAUGUAAGAAAUGAAGCAAGACAAUAUUAACCCUUUGGGAACAUGACAAAUAUAUUUGAGCUAGAUGGAUGUUUAGACUUUACUGUUAAAUGUUUUGUGAAGUGCUUGUGUAGAAAUACUUCUGAUCUGGCACUAUUUGAACUGUAUCAGCAAGUGCUUAAAUACUGUGUUCAGCUUCUUGUAUAUUUUGUGAGUAGAAGGUUCCACAGACUUAGAAAAACAGUUCUUUGGAACUAAAGACUCUCCACCUUAAUUUAUAUUUGGGAUUUUGGAGCAUAACAGGUAAACAAAACUGGAUGCCUAAAUGCAUCAAAAAUAACCAGAUUGUUAUGAAUUCAAUAAAUUUCAAACUCAGUUUGUACA
rnacentral:lncRNA from 1 species